rnacentral:rRNA from 1 species
GACGAACGCUGGCGGCGUGCUUAACACAUGCAAGUCGAACGCUGAAGCUCAGCUUUUGUUGGGUGGAUGAGUGGCGAACGGGUGAGUAACACGUGAGUAACCUGCCCCCUUCUUUGGGAUAACGCCCGGAAACGGGUGCUAAUACUGGAUAUUCACUGGUCUUCGCAUGGGGGUUGGUGGAAAGGGUUUUUCUGGUGGGGGAUGGGCUCGCGGCCUAUCAGCUUGUUGGUGGGGUGAUGGCCUACCAAGGCUUUGACGGGUAGCCGGCCUGAGAGGGUGACCGGUAACAUUGGGACUGAGAUACGGCCCAGACUCCUACGGGGGGCAGCAGUGGGGAAUAUUGCAGAAUGGGUGCAAGACUGAUGCAGCGACGCCGCGUGAGGGAUGGAGGUCUUCGGGUUGUGAACCUCUUUCGCUCAUGGUCAAGCCGAAACAAUGGUUGUGGUGAGGGUAGUGGGUAAAGAAGCGCCGGCUAACUACGUG